UACGUAGGGUGCAAGCGUUAUCCGGAAUGAUUGGGCGUAAAGGGUUCGCAGGUGGCAAUGUAAGUCUGCUGUCAAAGAAUGAGGCUUAACCUCAUCAAGGCAGUGGAAACUACAUAGCUAGAGUACGGUCGGGGUAGAAGGAAUUCCUGGUGUAGCGGUGAAAUGCGUAGAGAUCAGGAAGAACACCGGUGGCGAAAGCGUUCUGCUAGACCUGUACUGACACUGAGGGACGAAAGCUAGGGGAGCGAAUGGG
rnacentral:rRNA from 1 species